rnacentral:snRNA from 1 species
AAGAUGAGCUCAACGAGAACAG